rnacentral:rRNA from 1 species
GCAGAACGCGAAGAACCUUACCAGCCCUUGACAUGGUCGGACGGUUACCAGAGAUGGUUUCCUUCACUUCGGUGACUGACACACAGGUGCUGCAUGGCUGUCGUCAGCUCGUGUCGUGAGAUGUUGGGUUAAGUCCCGCAACGAGCGCAACCCUCGCCCUUAGUUGCCAUCAUUCAGUUGGGCACUCUAAGGGGACUGCCGGUGAUAAGCCGGAGGAAGGUGGGGAUGACGUCAAGUCUUCAUGGCCCUUACGGGCUGGGCUACACACGUGCUACAAUGGUGGUGACAGAGGGCUGCUAGGCCGCGAGGCCAUGCUAAUCCCAAAAAGCCAUCUCAGUUCGGAUUGCACUCUGCAACUCGGGUGCAUGAAGUCGGAAUCGCUAGUAAUCGCAGAUCAGCACGCUGCGGUGAAUACGUUCCCGGGUCUUGUACACACC